AGGAAAGCAGGGGAUCGCAAGACCUUGCGCUUUUGGAGCGGCCGAUGUCUGAUUAGCUAGUUGGUGAGGUAAAGGCUUACCAAGGCGUCGAUCAGUAGCUGGUCUGAGAGGACGACCAGCCACACUGGGACUGAGACACGGCCCAGACUCCUACGGGAGGCAGCAGUGGGGAAUUUUGGACAAUGGGGGAAACCCUGAUCCAGCCAUGCCGCGUGAGUGAAGAAGGCCUUCGGGUUGUAAAGCUCUUUCAGCCGGAACGAAACGGUCACAGCUAAUACCUGUGACUACUGACGGUACCGGAAGAAGAAGCACCGGCUAACUACGUGCCAGCAGCCGCGGUAAUACGUAGGGUGCGAGCGUUAAUCGGAAUUACUGGGCGUAAAGCGUGCGCAGGCGGUUUUGUAAGUCAGAUGUGAAAUCCCCGGGCUUAACCUGGGAACUGCGUUUGAAACUACAAAGCU
rnacentral:rRNA from 1 species